rnacentral:rRNA from 1 species
AUGGCUCCUUGCCACCUUCACCCUGUCCUCCUGCUCCUGGCCGUGGCCGAGAACAACUACACCGACGGCAGUGACUACGAGAUCAGCCUCGACCAACUCCUCCACGACCUUCGUGACGGCGCGAUCCGGAAUGGCAGCUUCUUCGAGACCAAUUACGGCAAGUAUCCCAACAGGGUAUAUGGUCAGGCGAUGUGCUACGUCGACUGCGAGCGCACACAGUGCGAGCUCUGCUUGAAGGCGGCGCCGUCGUACGUAAUGACCAAAGGGUGCCCGUACAGCCGGCAGGCCGCCAUCAUGUAUAACUGCUGCUAUCAGCGCUACUCAGACGAGGAAUUUUCUGGCCACGCCGACUUGUUCCAUGGUGGGUUCAACUUCAUACGUCCCGGGAGCUACGGCGAUGCCAUGAACGAGACGAGGUGGAAUCUGGUAACCCAGCUCAUGGCGGAGGCCGCUGGGUCGCCGCGGCGGUUUGCCACCCGGAGCCAGACAUACGUGGACGAGCACGGCGACUCCCAGGUGAUGUACGGCCUGGUGCAGUGCUCCAUGGACUUGUCGGCGACCGAGUGCACCAGCUGCCUUACAGCUGACUUGCCUCAGCGCCGCCCAAAACGACGGCUCAUCUUGGCGGUGUGUGCCGCGGUCACUGGUUCCGUCCUAGUCUUGAUCUGCGUUAGCAUCUCAGUGCGGCUCUUUUUGCACCGACAAGAGACGACUCCCUGCCGGGUGAAUAAAGGAGACGGCGAGGCCAUGGAAGACGAGUUCAGGAAAUUAGGGACUGGGUCCAGGCAAUUCCGCUACCGCGAGCUGGCAGCUGCAACCGACAACUUCUCAGACAACAGAAAACUCGGGGAAGGUGGGUUUGGCUCAAUGUACAAAGGGUUCUUGAAGGAUUUGAGAAUUGAGGUGGCUAUCAAGAGAGUGUCCAAGGGCUCCAAGCAGGGGAGGAAGGAGUACGCCUCUGAGGUGAGGGUCAUAAGUCGGCUUCGGCACCGCAGCCUCGUGCAGAUCGUUGGCUGGUGCCACGCCGGCGGCGAGCUCCUCCUGGUCUAUGAGCUGAUGCCCAACAGCAGCCUCGAUGUUCACCUUCACGGCUCGGACAAUGUACUAUGGUGGCCUGUCAGGUCAGAUGACUUUAAUUUAGCUGCCGUUUUUUGGAAUCCUCGUGUCACCAGUUCAAAUCUGCUCGACGCCACCAUGGACGACAAUAGUGGUUGCCUCCCUUCCGCCAUGACUUCCUGGAACGACGGGGUAUUGAGCUCAGACUCUGACUGCGACAUCACUAGCAUGGACCUGGGGCAGUGGGUGAGAUCAGGGAUUAAAACUAUUGUUGGUGUUGUGGAUGCAGGAGACCCCUGA